GGUUCCAUAGAGUGGUGGUUAGCACGUCUGCUUUACACACAGAAGGUCCCAGGUUCGAGCCCCAGCGGAGCCA
rfam:Pteropus alecto contig89122, whole genome shotgun sequence.